rnacentral:sRNA from 12 species
CGGGCUGGCCGUGAGGUCUGGUUCACCAACAGCGGGGAAAUUCCCC